rnacentral:rRNA from 1 species
CCUACGGGUGGCAGCAGUGAGGAAUAUUGGUCAAUGGACGAGAGUCUGAACCAGCCAAGUAGCGUAAAGGAUGACUGCCCUAUGGGUUGUAAACUUCUUUUAUAUGGGAAUAAAACGUUCCACGUGUGGGAUUUUGUAUGUACCAUAUGAAUAAGGAUCGGCUAACUCCGUGCCAGCAGCCGCGGUAAUACGGAGGAUCCGAGCGUUAUCCGGAUUUAUUGGGUUUAAAGGGAGCGUAGGUGGAUUGUUAAGUCAGUUGUGAAAGUUUGCGGCUCAACCGUAAAAUUGCAGUUGAAACUGGCAGUCUUGAGUACAGUAGAGGUGGGCGGAAUUCGUGGUGUAGCGGUGAAAUGCUUAGAUAUCACGAAGAACUCCGAUUGCGAAGGCAGUUCACUGGACUGCAACUGACACUGAGGCUCGAAAGUGUGGGUAUCAAACAGGAUUAGAUACCCCAGUAGUC